AUUGAACGCUGGCGGCAUGCUUUGCACAUGCAAGUCGAACGGCAGCGCGGGCUUCGGCCUGGCGGCGAGUGGCGAACGGGUGAGUAAUGCAUCGGAACGUGCCCAGUAGUGGGGGAUAGCCCGGCGAAAGCCGGAUUAAUACCGCAUACGACCUGAGGGUGAAAGCGGGGGACCGAAAGGCCUCGCGCUAUUGGAGCGGCCGAUGUCGGAUUAGCUAGUUGGUGGGGUAAAGGCUUACCAAGGCGACGAUCCGUAGCUGGUCUGAGAGGACGACCAGCCACACUGGGACUGAGACACGGCCCAGACUCCUACGGGAGGCAGCAGUGGGGAAUUUUGGACAAUGGGGGCAACCCUGAUCCAGCUAUGCCGCGUGCGGGAAGAAGGCCUUCGGGUUGUAAACCGCUUUUGUUCGGGAAGAAAUCCUCUGGGCUAAUACCCCGGGGGGAUGACGGUACCGGAAGAAUAAGCACCGGCUAACUACGUG
rnacentral:rRNA from 1 species